AUUGCCCAGGACCCCAUUGUGCUUGAUCUAACCAUGCAGUGGAUGCUCUGUCCAUGGUUGUGCCAAGCACCUUGGAGGCUUGCGAGCACU
ensembl:miRNA mir218b microRNA mir-218b